rnacentral:tRNA from 1 species
GGCGGAGUAGGCUCAGUUGGUUAGAGCAGCGGAAUCAUAAUCCGUGUGUCCCCAGUUCAAAUCUGGGCUUCGCUACCA